AUUGAACGCUGGCGGCAGGCCUAACACAUGCAAGUCGAACGAGUGGCGGACUGGUGAGUAAUGUCUGGGAAACUGCCUGAUGGAGGGGGAUAACUACUGGAAACGGUAGCUAAUACCGCAUACCAUCGGAUGUGCCCAGAUGGGAUUAGCUUGCAGGUGGGGUAACGGCUCACCUAGGCGACGAUCCCUAGCUGGUCUGCGAGGCUGACCAGCCACACUGGAACGGAGGCACGGUCCAGACGCCUACGGGAGGCAGACGUGGGGAAUAUUGCACAAUGGGCGCAAGCCUGAUGCAGCCAUGCCGGGUGUGUGAAGAAGGCCUUCGGGUUGUAAAGCGCUUUCAGCGGGGAGGCGUUAACCGCAGAAGAAGCACCGGCUAACUCCGUGACAGCAGCCGCGGUAAUUC
rnacentral:rRNA from 1 species